CAAAUGAAAUGGCUUCUUUAGGGUUUCACCAACCCUUGAGUGCCGCCGCUCAGCCUUGUGCCAAAGCUCCGAUUACGACGGAGAUGGCAACAACUCGGUGGUUCCGGCAGAAAAAGGUGAAGAUUCGGCUCGUGCGGGGCUUGGCUGCGGCGCGAACGUGGAAGACUGCCUAGGGUUUCCUCUGUGCUAGAAACGCAGGGCCUCGAUCUUGUUUUGGGGUUUGGGCCAUAUAGGCCCACUAUAUUUUAGGUCAUUUUUAAUUUUAAUAGACCCGGGCCAAAAUCGGGUAUUACAAAACUUAAAAUAAAUAAUUACUUUUUUAUAACCUAAAACAAUUUUAAAAUUUUAUAAAAAUAUU